rnacentral:tRNA from 1 species
GCCUGACUGGCUCAGUCGGUAGAGCAUGUGACUCUUGAUCUCAGGGUCAUGAGUUUGAGCCCCACGUUGAGUA